rnacentral:lncRNA from 1 species
UGAAGUUUGGUGCAUGUGUUUAUUUGGUUUUGUGGGAUUGGGAGGUGAGGGUUUUGUUGUUUUAAGACAGGGUUUCUGUAACCUGCAGCUUCAGUUUUCUCAGCUUUGAGAACACAGGCAGGUGCUACCAAGCUUAGCUGGUUUAACAUUUGACUUAGAAAACCCAUAGGCAUUUUUACAAGCGUAGCCUGUUAAGAGGAGCUAACCCAGUAUAGCCGUAGUUCUUGGGGAACUCCCACACAUAGGGGAGCGCAGGCCAGUUCUCGGUAUUGGAAGAGGUAGAUCCAAGGAGUGUGGAGGUAAAAAGCACUCAGCUUAAAAGCAGAGGCUGGUGAGGAAGAGAAGGUGGUAACAAUUCCAGUCUGUGGAUCCCAGAAGGCUCAGGACUGUCAGAGAACUGUUGGGGAACUCAGUUUCCUCAACGUAUCUUUGGUCCUGGGCCUUCCUGGCGUUACAUAGUUCCAUCCGAGAGGAGCUGACAGUGGGCCUACUGGGUAUCAGGAGGCCUACCUCAGAGAAUUUUCUCUUACAGGGUCUUGGGCAGCUGGAUCCUGUACAGCAUCCCUCCUUUCAUGAAUUAAUGAGGUUUAGUGGACAGAUGUGUCUGACUCUACUGGCAGAUGGGUGGGACAGGUGUGUCUUAUGCAUAGAUGGUAGCUGCAAGAUGGUUUUAUUGCUUUUUUGAGACAGGGUCUCACUAUGGACCUCCAACUGCUAUGUAGUCCUACUUGUCUCUGUCUCUUGUGUGCUGGGAUUAGACAUCUGACCUGUGUAAUUUUUUUUCUGCAGACUUUCUCAGUAGCCUCACACUGAUCUGGAGGGUUAACUUCAGAUCCUCCUGUCUCAGCCUCCCAAAGUGCUAGGGUUACAGGUCUACACCACUAUACCUCCAGGUGACGGGACGGGAGUUCCUAAAGAGCUGGACUCAACUUUACACAUGCACUCAUCCUCAACAGCAGACGUGCUCAUAGCAGUGACUCAUUCUUCCCACCCUCCUCUCUCCACAAAGGCUCAUCUUUCAACAGAACUGUUGCUCUGGAGCAGAUUGCCUUUUCCUAGACCUCCUGGCUUCCCCCACCUACCUGUGGCCACCAAAGGGACAUAGAUGACUCCAUCCUACACUGGGCUACAGAUAAGCUGUAUCUCUGUGACCUCAGAACCCAGAUUAAAGCCAAAUCCUCUGUGCUUACUUC